GAGCAGGGAGGGAAGGGAGUGGUAGAGAGGGAUGGGAUACGGGGUCUAGCUCAGCUCGUCCAGCCGGCUGCGCGAUCCCAAGGCAGGGAGGCCGGGACGGCAACGGCGCUAGCGGGGCCGCGAGGGGCGAGGCGGGGGUGGGCUGGGGGUUGUGUGACCACGAGAGGGGGGAGGGCGUCGGUACCGCCUCUUCGACUCCCAGAUCCCAAGGCCGCUCUACAGCUGCCGCUUCGGGGAGGGGGCGCCGGUUAGCGCCGCGGGGGCGGGGGGAGGGGGCGCGUCCGCUCCGCCUAACCGCCGGAACCGGUGCGGCUAGACCGCCUGUGUCGGAGCUAGGCCUCCCUCCCUAAACCGUCGGUACCACUACCCCCAGCGGAGGGAGGAGGGAGGGGAGCGGCCUCGAGUGGCCGCCCCGGGACCCGACCGCGCCGAGGGCGCUUGUCUUCGGGCAGCGUCGUAGCGUGUCGUCGUUCGGGUAGCGGGGUCUGGCUGCGUGCCGCUGGAGUCGUUGAGGCCUGUCCUACCAGCGCCAGUCCAAGGUGGUCAUGGUCCAGCAGCCCUCCCCGGACGGCUGCGGCUGCCUCCUCGUAGGGUCCUAGAUGGCGUACUUCGAGUCCCAGUACAAAGCAACACGUAGUCGAUAUGACCAAGUGGGAAACUACUAAAACGAACGGUAGCAAAAAAGACAACGCGAUAAUCUAUCAUUAUAAUACGCACCUACACUCAUCGAACGACUUAGUUAUCCCCUACUCGAAGAGACACUAAAUAACGCUUAGGCUGCAGACCGUGAGCAAUCCAUGAACUCUACCAUGAACCAGGUUAGGCAACACCGGUAUCGAAACAAUUAACUACAUAAGAAUACUUGACCCAUGACGUUAACAACGACGAUAUAAGACUAAUGAACAACACUGGCCAUAACUCUCUAAAACCACCAACGAAACUAAUGUAAAUUGAGCCUCAAGAGGUCAUGAGGAUCUAAACGAUGAGUUUGUUUAAAACUCAUGAACGUGGCCUUUCCUCACUUUAUGAGGACCAUGAACGUAUCCAAAUUUUUACUGAACACAUCCAAAUUUUUAUGAGGACCAUGAACACUACUUUGGUUGUUAAUUGAACGAUUGGAGAAAACAAGUUAGUAGAAAAGUAAGAAUUUAAAAUCACAAGUUACAGUCUAAUAUGUUUGACCUUCACAGACAAGAAAAAGAAAAACUUCAUCCCUCCAAGAACUAUCGUCACACCAUUCGUUUUGUAAUUGAAACACUACGAAGGUCAUCUGGUGAUUGUACGUACAAAACCCAUUAGUUAAAUCGACGAGACGACACAUUUAACUUUCACUUCUUUGGACUAUUCAAUUUGGGUCCACGUACUAACAUAUGGAUUAGACUAUACGAAAAUUUGACAUGGACCCAUGACUUGGGUUCAAUUCAUAUGGGCUCAUAAGAGUGCGCACGCGUAUUAUACGACUUAUCUAUCGAGUACCAAACAAGGACAUGCCAAGAACGAUUUACCCAUCGAGUACCAAGACACAUCGUCUUAUACAAAUUUAAAAGACCCCAUGGGAAAAAAUGAGACUUAUUCGUUGUCUUCACGAGUUGUAGGUAGUACGUAUUGGGACUUAUAAAUACCAGAAACAACUAUACAGAACGACACAUGCAUAUCACGGACAUGUACGUACCAACACAAAACGUCCACAUCCCAUUGAAAAUGACGUGUUCAAUUGAGCUCUGACCAAUUAAAAAAAACUUUCUACACGACAGAACGUCACAGACGCUGUUCUCCCCUCCUGACGAAACGUUAGAGUUGCAUGGGAUAAGUAGUCUCUGUUGUAGAGGCACCCGCGGAGGCACACGAGAAAACCGUCGAGCCUCGGUACGACAGUCUCGAGAAGUGGUUGACCUGGUAGAUGUGGUUGUUCCGCCGCUGCGACCACUGCGACGACAAGCACUAGCGCCAGUUGGACCGCUAGUCGUAGGACGGCGUGUACUACGCGGGCCGCGGUACCUCAUGGAGUUCCCGUACGAGCGGAGGGGGUCGUAGGGCUAGAGUUGCUCGGAUCGCCGGCGGCAGGAACAGGACGAGCUCCUCGUCCUCCUCCUCCCCGCGUAGAUCGGUCGGUGUUUCCCGGACGAGACAUGGUGGUGUAGUAGCCGGAAGACGUCGUAGCUCAAGUUAUACAGUCUACUGGGAAGGAUAGGCAGACUAUACUACCAGUUAUCAACGAACAUCUACUUACUACUUCACAACGACACUUACACUUACUCAUCGGUGUUCAGACAAACGUAGUAACGGUAUCGAUCACUUACUCGUCGGUGUUCAGAUAAACGCAGUGACGGUAUCAAUGGACUUAUGUUUACUCGUCGGUGUUCAGACAGACUAUCUUAAAGGGGUUUUGAUACACCCUUUAAACCAAUUGGAACAACUAUAGUCUAUAGUAAGAUUGUGGACUAAUCGUAUAGUGAACAGAUACAAGUCAAUUCUCAUAAGUCAAAUCUACGUCUAAAUCAGUUGUGAUACCUAGUCAUAAGUCAAAUCUACGUCUAUGUCAGUUGUGAUCCAUAGUUAUGUACAAACGCUUACAAUAUACGUGCCAAAGAAUAAUCUAGAGUUGAAGUCGUCGAUAAAAAGUAACAAUCCUCUUACAAUAUACGUGUUGAAGUGAACUAAAGGAUUGAAAAAACUAAAUAUUGGACGUCUACGCCACAUGUUCUCGGGGUCCUCUUCUUAGGGCUUCUUUUGGUCGUGGGUUGAUACACAAAAUCGAGGGACCUCGACCGGUACAAUUAUAAUCCACAUAAAAUAUCAACUUAUGGACUAAACAUGACGGUACUGAGAUUUCAUGAAGCAAACCGACAACAAACUUUAACAUACACAAUAACCGAUACAAACUUAGUUCAAUAACCAAUAACGUG
rnacentral:rRNA from 1 species